GUUUGCUGUGCCACAGGAAGCAGAUGUCUCUGGUUUUGGUGUGGUCUCACGGAUGUUGCUGGCAGUGCUGCACCACAUCUUCUUACUGAUAUGGUAGAGGUGAUGGAAAGGGAACAUGGAACUGAAGUGGGUCACUGUUCUCCCUUACUGCAAAAAGUUUAGAAGAGAAAUAUUGUAGACCCACUUUGAAUAGUUACAGUUACAGAACCAGUACCUGAAAAUACCUCUUGGGAGCUCUGCUUCAAUAAUUCUUUUAAAGCCUGUGUCUCUGAAAAUGGCACACAUGAAUAACAAAUCACCAUGUGAGUGUAAUUCUAUACAUGGGCCAAGGAGCUUUUAGAAGAAUUUGUGUUCCUUCAAAGAGCAGCAAAACGU